rnacentral:rRNA from 1 species
GGUCGUCGUCGCGUACGUCACGAGAGUAGUGUAGUGGCGUCAGGACGAACGCUGGCGGCGUGCCUCAUACAUGCAAGUCGAGCGGUCUGGCGCAAGGUCAGAUAGCGGCGGACGGGUGAGUAACACGUGGGUAACCUGCCCUAAAGACCGGGAUAACAUCCUGAAAGGGAUGCUAAUACCGGGUAUGGUCUUCUUAUCGCAUGGUAGGAAGAAGAGAGGAGCAAUCCGCUUUAGGAUGGGCCCGCGUCCCAUUAGCUAGUUGUAGGGUAACGGCCUACCAAGGCGACGAUGGGUAGCCGACCUGAGGGGGUGACCGGCCACACUGGGACUGAGACACGGCCCAGACUCCUACGGGAGGCAGCAGUCGGGAAUAUUGGGCAAUGGGGGAAACCCUGACCCAGCAACGCCGCGUGAGUGACGAAGGCCUUCGGGUCGUAAAGCUCUGUCCUUGGGGACGAACGAUGACGGUACCCAAGAAGAAAGCCACGGCUAACUACGUGCCAGCAGCCGC